GACGAACGCUGGCGGCGUGCUUAAUACAUGCAAGUCGAGCGGACAGACCCUGAGCUUGCUCCGCGGACGUGAGCCGCGGGCGGGUGAGACACACGUGUAAAACCUACCUAUAAUUCUGGGAUCACUUCGGGAAACCGGCGCUAAUACCGGAUAAUAUAUUGCACCGCGUGGUUCAAUAGUGAGAUACGGCUUUGCUGGAUCUUAUAGAUGGAUCCGCGCCGCAUUAGAUAGUUGGUGAGGUAACAGCUUACCAAGGCGACGAUGCGUAAACGACCUGAGAGGGGGGUCGGCCGCACUGGAGCUGGGACGCGGUCCAGACUCCUGCGGGAGGCAGCAGUAGGGAAUCUUCCGCAAUGGGCGAAAGCCUGACGGAGCAACGCCGCGCGAGAGAUGACGGUCUUCGGAGCGGAAAGCUCUGUUAUGAGGUAUAAACCGAUGUGUAAGUAACUAUGCACGUCUUGACGGUACCUAAUCAGAAAGCAACGGCUAACUACGUG
rnacentral:rRNA from 1 species